AGUGUUAGAGAGUUCACAGCUCGGUAAAAAAAAAUUCUAAAUUUUGUAGUUUUUUUUCGGCAAUAUUUAUUUGACUAGAUAUUAAGAAUAAAGUGAUAUUUUUUUACAACUAAUUUAAGCAAAAAGUGAAAAACACAAUCAACUAACAAAAGACAGUGAAAAGAAAACAACAAAAAUGUUCGUGGGGCAGAGAACUCACAGCUCGCAAAAAGUGAAAAACACAAUCAACAAACAAAAGACAGUGAAAAGAAAACAACAGUUAUGCUCGUUUCAAAAAUAAUAAAUGCAACAAUUAACAGCUCAACACCAAUCAAAUACCGCGAAAAAUGUUUGUUUGUUACGAAACUAUUUAUUAGUCCAGUUAACAAUAUCUACCGAUCCAACAGACUCUGGGGUCUCACUUUAGAUGGCAGUAGGUUUUCCUCGGGGUCCAAUGGAUGCUGGAUCAUAGACGACUAAUACAACAAUCAAUCAACACCAAUCAAAUAACGCGAAAAAUACUCUGGGGUCUCACUUUAGAUGGCAGUAGGUUUUCUUCGGGGUCCAAUGGAUGCUGGAUCAUAGACGACUAAUACAACAAUCAACACCACCCGUUCAGCAUUAAACAAUAAUCAAAAAAAAAACUGCGAAAAAGACACUAUAGAGUUGUUCCCACAGCUGGCAGGAGGUCGUCCUUGGAGUCUAACGGAUGUACAAUCGGAUACACGGUCAAACACGUUCACGAGUGCGAACUACAUAUACUAAACACACUAUACUAUAUUUUGAUACUAAUAAUUAUAUAUUUUUAUACCAAAAACAAA
rnacentral:sRNA from 1 species